rnacentral:rRNA from 1 species
GACGAACGCUGGCGGCGGGCUUAACACAUGCAAGUCGAGCGGAAAGGCCCUGCUUGUUUGUGGUGCUCGAGUGGCGAGCGGGUGAGUAACACAGGAGUAACCUUCCCAGUGCUUGGGAAUAUCUUCAGAAAACUGGUGCUAAUACCUAAGAGGUGCGCCUGCUACAGGGGGGGGUUUGGAAAGUUUAGGUGGUUGGGGAUGUACGGGAGGCUUAUCAGCUUGUUGGGGGGGGAGUUGCUUACCAAGGCUUUGAAGGGUAGCCGGCCUGAGAGGGUGAACGGCCACAUUGGGCCUGAGGUACGGCCCAGAGUCCUACGGGAGGCAGCAGGGGGGAAUAUUGCCCAAUGGGGGGAAGUCUGAUGCAGAAACGCCGGGUGCGGGAUGACGGCCUUCGGGUUGUAAACCGCUUUCGCCUGUGACGAAGCGUGAGUGACGGUAAUGGGUAAAGAAGCACCGGCUAACUACGUG